rnacentral:rRNA from 1 species
AUGCUGACUUGGGUUCCAGGUGACAGUGUAUGGAUUCCUGUUGCAUAUGUUGUUGUUACCGAUGGCGUAUGGACCGUCAAGUGCUUCUGGGUGUUCCUCGUUGUUCCACAGGCAUUUCAGUUCCUUGCUUAUGUUGCCAUAUGGAGAUCCUGCAGUGUGGAGUUUUGUCAAGGCAAGUUGUCAGGGGAUCCAGGCAUCUGGGCCCUUCUCUAUUUCUUCGGACUUUUCACUCAAGCUGAAGUAUAUAAUAGGAAGGAGGAAUGUUGUAGCUCCAACCUACUAUCACGGCCACUGCCUCAACCAUGCUCUGACAACGUCUCUGUCAACCAACACUAUUACCUCAAUGCUUUCUGUGACCAAGUGAACAUCAGCGACGACUACUUCCUUGAGCAAGUCGGCGUCGUUUGCUACCUCAACCUCGCCAAGUUCCGCCUCAACUACGGCACCCACCGGCCACCGCCACCUUGGCGAAGUCAUGAAGCACCAAGUACCAUGGGAUCCCUUUGGUUUCCACAUUGA